GGAAACCCAGUGUGAUUCGUCACACUAUCAUUAACUGAAUCCAUAGGUUAAUGAGGCGAACCGGGGGAACUGAAACAUCUAAGUACCCCGAGGAAAAGAAAUCAACCGA
rnacentral:rRNA from 1 species